ensembl:lncRNA
AAAUACAGUUAAGAAAUAAAUAUUUAUUUACACACGACAUCUGGAAUUAGAGUUGAAUUGGAGCACGGUAAACGAACUAACAUGGUAAAUACACUGAAGUACAAAACAAAAGAGAAAUCAUACAUUGCACAAAACAUGGUGGAAAAAGACGAGGUGUGUAUGAGGAGUGUAUGAGGUGUGUAUGUGGUGUGUAUGAGGUGUGUAUGAGGUGUGUAUGAGGUGUGUUGAGGUGUGUAUGAGUUGUGUAUGAGGUGUGUAUGAGGUGUGUAUGAGUUGUGUAUGUGGUGUGUAUGAGGUGUGUAUGAGGUGUGUAUGAGGUGUGUAUGAGGUGUGUAUGUGGUGUGUAUGAGGAGUGUAUGAGGUGUGUAUGAGGUGUGUAUGAGUUGUGUAUGAGGUGUGUAUGAGGUGUGUAUGAGGUGUGUAUGUGGUGUGUAUGAGGUGUGUAUGAGGUGUGUAUGAGGUGUGUAUGAGGAGUGUAUGAGGUGUGUAUGAGGUGUGUAUGAGGAGUGUAUGUGGUGUGUAUGAGGAGUGUAUGUGGUGUGUAUGAGGAGUGUAUGUGGUGUGUAUGAGGUGUGUAUGUGGUGUGUAUGAGGUGUGUAUGUGGUGUGUAUGAGGUGUGUAUGAGGUGUGUAUGAGGUGUGUAUGAGGAGUGUAUGAGGUGUGUAUGAGGACACAUGAGAGUUGAGUCUUGUGUUUUAAUGCCUUUAAAUUCCCAUCACUGUGGCUGUAGUCGUAGAUUUCAAUAUGAAGU